rnacentral:lncRNA from 1 species
UCGAGGCAGUCCUCGGGACCAAAGAAGACCCAGAAGCUAUAUUUCUAAGGAUUCGGAGAGGGUACCUCACCUUAGGGAUUCUCGGGGUUAUGACACAAGCAAGAGGAUUUUCACCGGAGAGUAUGGAGAAGGCAUUCCGUCUUGAGUGUUCUCGUAGAAGCGGAAGGGCUCAGCAUCGAAGCAGAUCAAGAAGCCAUACUCUUGAGAGGCCGAAGAGGGCACUCUACCCUAUUGGUUCUCGGGAUUAUGGUCGAAGUAGACGAAAGAGUUGAUCCAAAG